rnacentral:rRNA from 1 species
GUCGAACGGAAACGCGAAGAGCUUGCUCUUUGGCGUCGAGUGGCGGAUGGGUGAGUAACGCGUGGGAAUCUACCCAGCAGUGGAGGAUAGCCAGGAGAAAUUCUGAUUAAUACUGCAGACGAUCUACGGAUGAAAGAUGGCCUCUACUUGUAAGCUAUCGCUAUUGGAUGAGCCCGCGUUAGAUUAGCUAGUUGGUGGGGUAAUGGACUACCAAGGCGACGAUCUAUAGCUGGUCUGAGAGGACGGACCAGCCACAUCGGGACAGAGACACGGCCCAGACUCAUAACGGAGGCAGCAGUGGGGAAUAACAGACAAUGGGCGCAAGCCUGAUCCAGCAAUACCGCGUGUGUGAAGAAGGCCUUAGGGUUGUAAAGCACUUUCAAUUGUACAGAAGGGUAUUAGAUCAAUACUCUAGUAUCUUGACGUUAACCUUAGAAGAAGCACCGGCUAACUCCGUGCCAGCAGCCGCGGUACUACAGAGGGUGCAAGCGUUAAUCGG